ACUCGGAGCUGCUGAUGACGAUGAUGAUGAUCAUGAUCAUGAUAUCGUGUCUGUUCAUGCUUUGGAGUUAUUUCUGCCCUCUUCAUCAUCAUCAUCGUCAUUAUCAUUA
rnacentral:miRNA from 1 species